AUUGAACGCUGGCGGCAGGCCUAACACAUGCAAGUCGAGCGGAUGAAGGGAGCUUGCUCCUGGAUUCAGCGGCGGACGGGUGAGUAAUGCCUAGGAAUCUGCCUGGUAGUGGGGGAUAACGUCCGGAAACGGGCGCUAAUACCGCAUACGUCCUGAGGGAGAAAGUGGGGGAUCUUCGGACCUCACGCUAUCAGAUGAGCCUAGGUCGGAUUAGCUAGUUGGUGGGGUAAAGGCCUACCAAGGCGACGAUCCGUAACUGGUCUGAGAGGAUGAUCAGUCACACUGGAACUGAGACACGGUCCAGACUCCUACGGGAGGCAGCAGUGGGGAAUAUUGGACAAUGGGCGAAAGCCUGAUCCAGCCAUGCCGCGUGUGUGAAGAAGGUCUUCGGAUUGUAAAGCACUUUAAGUUGGGAGGAAGGGCAGUAAGUUAAUACCUUGCUGUUUGGACGUGACCAACAGAAUAAGCACCGGCGAACUGCGU
rnacentral:rRNA from 1 species